rnacentral:tRNA from 1 species
GGGCCUAUAGCUCAGUUGGUUAGAGCGCACGCCUGAUAAGCGUGAGGUCUGUGGUUCAAAUCUACAUAGGCCCA